GGAGGAAGGUGAGGACGACGUCAAAUCAUCAUGCCCCUUAUGUCUUGGGCUUCACGCAUGCUACAAUGGCCGGUACAAUGGGUUGCGAUACUGUGAGGUGGAGCUAAUCCCAAAAAGCCGGUCUCAGUUCGGAUUGGGGUCUGCAACUCGACCCCAUGAAGUCGGAGUCGCUAGUAAUCGCAGAUCAGCAACGCUGCGAUGAAUACGUUCCCGGGCCUUGUACACACCGCCGUCGACGCGGCCG
rnacentral:rRNA from 1 species